rnacentral:rRNA from 1 species
CAGCCGCCGCGGGAAUACGAAGGGUGCAAGCGUUAAUCGGAGUUACUGGGCGUAAAGCGUGCGUAGGCGGUGAGUUAAGUCUGCUGUGAAAUCCCCGGGCUCAACCUGGGAAUGGCAGUGGAUACUGGCUCGCUAGAGUGUGUCAGAGGAUGGUGGAAUUCCCGGUGUAGCGGUGAAAUGCGUAGAGAUCGGGAGGAACAUCAGUGGCGAAGGCGGCCAUCUGGGACAACACUGACGCUGAGGCACGAAAGCGUGGGGAGCAAACAGGAUUAGAUACCCCAGUAGUCCCUGUCUCUUAUAA